GCCUGCGGCGAUAGUACGUUGAAUGCACCAGUCCCCAAUUAAUCACUAAAGUUAAGAAACGUUGCGCAUGGCUAGUUUAUCGGAGAGGAGUACAAUCACGUUCUGCUUUUC
rnacentral:rRNA from 1 species